rnacentral:lncRNA from 1 species
CCAUCAUCAAAGAGUACAAAGUCAUAAUUACAACGUUUUUUUUUUUUUUUUUGUGGUGUCUAGGGUUUGAACCUCAGGCCUUGCAUAUAUUAUGCAUUGUUCUUACUAACUGAACUAAGCUCACGGGGACAUAACUACAACGUUUUUGAGAUUAUAAAAAAAAUUGGGCGUAAACAAAAUAACUAAAUGUCAAAUAUUCUAGUUAGGCAAUGUGAACUCUCUUAGGUUGCUACUCAUUGAAUCCAUGGGCCAUGGCUGAAAUCUAGAACAGUCACACCAACCAUUCAAACACCUUGGUAGAAGACCAGGAUCGCACAUAUCAUAUGGGCAAUCAGAAUCAUCAAUACAAUUCAAUUUUGCUGUAAUGAAAAAGUAAAUAAACUAUGUUGUUAAAAUGGGACAC